AUGUUAAAAAGUCUACCUGGGACACUUGGUAGUUGGACUGAAAUGUUAAGAAGUCUGCCUGGGACACUUGGUAGUUGGACUGAAAUGUUAAGAAGUCUGCCUGGGACACUUGGUAGUUGGACUGAAAUGUUAAGAAGUCUGCCUGGGACACUUGGUAGUUGGACUGAAAUGUUAAGAAGUCUGCCUCGGACACUUGGUAGUUGGACUGAAAUGUUAAGAGGUCUGCCUGGGACAUUUGGUAGUUGGACUGAAAUGUUAAGAAGUCUGCCUGGGACACUUGGUAGUUGGACUGAAAUGUUAAGAAGUCUGCCUGGGACACUUGGUAGUUGGACUGAAAUGUUAAGAAGUCUACCUGGGACACUUGGUAGUUGGACUGACAUGUUAAGAAGUCUACCUGGGACACUUGGUAGUUGGACUGACAUGUUAAGAAGUCUGCCUGGGACACUUGGUAGUUGGACUGAAAUGUUAAGAAGUCUGCCUGGGACACUUGGUAGUUGGACUGAAAUGUUAAGAAGUCUACCUGGGACACUUGGUAGUUGGACUGAAAUGUUAAGAAGUCUGCCUGGGACACUUGGUAGUUGGACUGACAUGUUAAGAAGUCUGCCUGGGACACUUGGUAGUUGGAGUGAAAUGUUAAGAAGUCUGCCUGGGACACUUGGUAGUUGGACUGAAAUGUUAAGAAGUCUGCCUGGGACAUUUGGUAGUUGGACUGAAAUGUUAAGAAGUCUGCCUGGGACACUUGGUAGUUGGACUGAAAUGUUAAGAAGUCUGCCUGGGACACUUGGUAGUUGGACUGAAAUGUUAAGAAGUCUGCCUGGGACACUUGGUAGUUGGACUGAAAUGUUAAGAAGUCUACCUGGGACACUUGGUAGUUGGACUGAAAUGUUAAGAAGUCUUCCUGGGACACUUGGUAGUUGGACUGACAUGUUAAGAAGUCUGCCUGGGACACUUGGUAGUUGGAGUGAAAUGUUAAGAAGUCUGCCUGGGCCACUUGGUAGUUGGACUUUGGUUGGAUGGACGAUGGAGUGGACUUGGAACAUGUGA
rnacentral:lncRNA from 1 species